UACGUAGGGUGCGAGCGUUAAUCGGAAUUACUGGGCGUAAAGCGUGCGUAGGCGGUUUGUUAAGUCUGCUGUGAAAUCCCCGGGCUCAACCUGGGAAUGGCAGUGGAUACUGGCAAGCUAGAGUGUGUCAGAGGAUGGUGGAAUUCCCGGUGUAGCGGUGAAAUGCGUAGAGAUCGGGAGGAACAUCAGUGGCGAAGGCGGCCAUCUGGGACAACACUGACGCUGAGGCACGAAAGCGUGGGGAGCAAACAGGG
rnacentral:rRNA from 1 species